rnacentral:tRNA from 1 species
GGGCCCAUAGCUCAGUUGGUUAGAGCAAUUGACUCAUAAUCAAGAGGUCGUAGGUUCAAGCCCUACUGGGCCCA